CCGUGCUAAGCGGGGAGGUAGCGGUGCCCUGAACCUGCAAACCGCUAGAGCAGGGCUGAAUUCCUUUCUGAGGCUUAUGUUUUUCAGGGUCUGACCCUGGUAAGUGGCUAUGAGGAUCGGGUCCUGUGCGACGUGAACUCACAAACCCCGUCAGGUCCGGAAGGAAGCAGCGGUAAGUGAGCAUUCACGGGUGCCCCAGGGCUACCUGAUCCGAGCUAACUGCCCGGGUAACGCCUGGAAAAGUAAGUCGAGGAAAGGUGCACGG
rnacentral:SRP_RNA from 1 species